GGCCCAUUUGAGGCGGCGGCGGGUGCUGAGAUGGUGUCACGGCGUCGCAUUCUGUCGCGCUCCCGCGACGACCUCACGCAGGCCGCGCAGCUGGAAGAGGAGGAGGAUGUGUGGUACCAGAAGGAUAAACUCUAUAAGGAACAUAUACAAGAAGUGCUGGAUAAAUGGACUCAAAUCGACGAUGAGAUCUGGGCGAAGGUGAUAGUGUUCGAGAAGAACAGACGCGUUGCCAAAGCGUAUGCGCGUGCGCCCGUACUCACUAUCAACGGCUCAGAUGACGGAUUUGACGGCAUGAGAAUUGGCCUUUGCGGGUUCAACAAUCCACACAGAGAUCAGAAAACAGAUGAAGUGAAAAGGCAUAUAGGACAGGGUGUCAAAAUAAAGAUGGACGACGCCGGUAACAUACUCGUCAGGCGCUACUCCAAGAGUAGUGUGUUUGUGAAGAGUACAGCAGCCACCAGCAACGAAGAGACAGCUAUAGGACAGGACAUACUGAAACUGCCUGGCUACGCGCUGGAGCAGGAAAAAAUAUUUAAGUUAUUCGACAUGAAGAAAUUCCAGUCGAACGUGAACCGGGAGCUUCGCCGUGCGUACCCUGAUCGUCGGAGACUUGAGACGCAGUGCUUGAGCGCGGUGGCCUUCGUCAAGUCGGAGGGAGAGCUCCUGGAGUGCCCGAUAUGGGUGCUGGUCAUCAACGUCGUCGCUAUGGACAUGCUCAAGUCGAAGCUGCCUCCAGUCCAAAGACCCAUGGACAUCAAGAACCGGCCUCGCAUCCCGAUCCCGGAUGAAGACCCCUACAGCAUUGCCAGUUCAAACGCCAACGGCUCCGGGUCGAGCGGCAGUUCAGGCGGCUACGGCCACAACGGGCACGGCGUGGUCGCGGCUACGAGGGAGCAGCUGAUGAUGCAGAUGGGCCAGAGGAGAGGCGACAAGCCUCCCAAGCUGCCGCCUAGGGAGAAUGGCUACGGGCCCGCUGAUAUUCCCAAGCCGGACUACGACGACAUAGAGGAGAACGGGCGCGUCCCAACGCAGUUCCCGAGGGGCAAAUCUGACAAGGGCAAAGACAACAAGAAAUAUGAUGACCCGUACUACUGCGGUCUGCGCGCCCGCGUGCCCAACUUCGUAAAGACGAACGGGGCCAAAGUUCUGCCGGCGAUGACUGAGCGGCUGACCCUCAAGGAGGCGCCGAUGCCCGUUCCCAGCAAGCGCUACAGCGUGGCCCACGCCCACCCUGGCCCCUUCCCGCCACACAUGGCCCCUUUCGCCCACGCUCCCAUGCCCCCCGCGGCGCUCUGGCACGCUCGCUCCUACGAGAGCGGAAUCGGUGCGUACGAAAGACCCCCCAGAAAGGAAAAGCUCAUGUACCAAUUCUAUCCUAACAGGGACCAACGGCUGCGACCGAUCGUCAUCCAGCAACCGCGCUAGGUGUACAUAAGAUUAACCCCGCACUAAAAUCACACCGCCUCGGCGCGGAAUCUCCGCUCCAAUCUUGAUGGAGAUCACUAUGACCCAUACGCGAUAUACGGCAGACUACCCAUGCCUGGCCGCGGCUUCCCGCCUCCACCGGCACCCAACGCUCGCCACAUGUUCAUCGGAGAAUGGGACUAAACCCCAUCAAUUGCACUGGAGAAUACCACUAAAAACCACGAGACCAAUCUAUGACAUAAUCUAAAAAAUAUAAAUUAUUAUCGAGACAAUUGUCUGAAGAAAUUUUAGAAUCUGUAGCUUGAUUGAUUAUCUCAAAGGUUGACCUUGUGAUUGGUUUUACUGAAUAUGGUCACAUCGAUGUUAAACUUUCGAGUUUUCUAACAAAUAGACGUAGCGAUAUUCAGACAGUAUGCCCUGACAUGUAAAUAUAUAACACAGUUGUAAAUUAUUAGUCAAAUCGUUUUCUGUUUAUCGAUUUCAAAGCAGCUUUUGACAAUGUAUCACUCAAAAAUCGCUUUGAAGAGCAAACGAAUUGAACUGGGCAAUGCUGUAAAAUUACGAAUUUAGUUUUUAAAACCAUCGCAGACUUUAACUUGUGUAGUUUUUGUUGAUAAGAUUGAAGUUUGUAAGACGCGAAUUUUACCAUUUUGAUACAUGAUUAGAAUUAAGUAUUUAAGAUAUUGUGUGUUUUAAAUAAUCACUGCCACUUUCGACGAUAUCAGUGUGUUCAUACUUGAUUUUGUUUAUUAAGGUUUUUCUUUCUUAAUAUUUAAGGUGUCAAUCCUAGUCAAUACAGGGUUGGGAAUGAUUUAUUAGGAACUAGUAAAUGUUGAAAUCCAAAUUCGUGCAGUGUUCUCACACCUUCUGUCUCUUUUAUUUUCAUUUAUUUAAAAGAAAUAAAAGAUGUUACAGAGAACACACAGAGUAAAUUAAUACUGUAACAUCACAUAGAAAACGGCUUGUGACAUAAAUAAUGUAAUUUAUGUUUAAUAGUAUUUUCAAUUGACUAGCAACAACUUUGGAAUUUUCCGUGUAAAUACCAAGUUUUAUUUCAAAUUGUUUCAUAGUUUAGGAGUUAUUUUGUAUGUUUAUUAAUAAGUACCUUACAAGUCUUUGUCACAACAUAAGUUAAAUGUAAUCACAUACAUGUGUAGUUGUUAUAGAAAGCAAUAAUAUAAACUUA